GUAAGCAAAUUAAGAUGCAGUUGACAGCGUUAAUAUUUAAAAAUGUAGACAGAACAACAGAAUACAAUGUAACAUGCUAACUUUAACCCAUUUAUUUUUCAGAUAAAAAUGUUUUGUCCUUUUUGUGGCUUAUUAUUGGACUCAAUCCAGAGCCCAAGAUAUUGCCGCUCCUGUGGGCGAGAUGUUAGUUUCAUCCACGCUUCUACAGCAUCAACAAGUGCAGUGACUGUUGCUGGUACCAGUCAACAAAAGGCAUGUGCUAACCAGUUCAUGAGCUACAGGGCACAGAAAGAAAACGAGAGAAAGACGUUUUCUAAAGGCCCAAAGAAAGCACCAAUAGCAGUCAAGAUUUCGGUUGGGGUCAUGAACCAGACAAAACAUGGCCUCAAGCCGGUAAGAGGGAAAACACUUCCCGUAAAUGUGGAACCUCAGUGGACGGCGGAGCAACUUUUGGCGGUUGCAAUGAAAAAACUGAAAGAUUUCAACCGAGAUAUGGAAGAUGGAGAAUAUGUCUUGCUAU